rnacentral:rRNA from 1 species
CCUACGGGUGGCAGCAGUGGGGAAUAUUGCACAAUGGGGGAAACCCUGAUCCAGCGACGCCGCGUGAGGGAAGACGUAUUUAGUUACUUAAAGCUGUAUCAGCAGGGAAGAAAAUGCCGAUACCUGAGUAUGAAGCCCCGGCUACCUCCGUUCAAGCAGCCGCGGUAAUACGUAGGGGGCCAGCGUUAUCCGGAUUCAUGGGGUGUAAAGGGGGCGUAGACGGUGCGCUAAGUCAGGAGUGAAAUGCCGCAGCUUAAAGGCGGAACUGCCUUGGAAACUGGGGAACUAGAGCGUGGGCGGGGUAAGCGGAAUGCCUGGUGUAGCGGUGAAAUGCGUAGAUAUUAGGAGGAACACCGGUGGCGAAGGCGGCUUACUGGACCGUAACUGACGUUGAGGCUCGAAAGCGUGGGGAGCAAACAGGAUUAGAUACCCCGGUAGUC